AGAUGCCAGCACUUAUGUUCCAUUCUGCAUCAACAUCUCUGCUUGCUGUCAAUGAAAACAUUCAACUCCACAUUCAACCCUGCACUGAUCUAGACUCGUAUGUACCAGGUAUUGUAACACCUUCCCCCGACUCCUAUCCACCAGACGCGGGGGCCGCUGCCAUAGACGGUCCUGGAAAGACAAGGGCCCAAAGGGAACAGAAAAUAACUCUGAGAUAGAACAACCUAAUAUGGACGGCAAGUGGGCUGGCGGUUCGGAUUCUCACCGUACUCGAUGUAACAUGUAGUUGAUGUAACUGUAUAAAUAUUUUUCUAGAGGGGUGUCUCCCAAUCAGAUGAUGACAACACAUGUAUUUUUAAUUGAUC